GACGAACGCUGGCGGCGUGCCUAAUACAUGCAAGUAGAACGCUGAAGAGAGGAGCUUGCUCUUCUUGGAUGAGUUGCGAACGGGUGAGUAACGCGUAGGUAACCUGCCUUGUAGCGGGGGAUAACUAUUGGAAACGAUAGCUAAUACCGCAUAACAAUGGGUGACACAUGUCGUUUAUUUGAAAGGGGCAAUUGCUCCACUACAAGACGGACCUGCGUUGUAUUAGCUAGUAGGUGAGGUAACGGCUCACCUAGGCGACGAUACAUAGCCGACCUGAGAGGGUGAUCGGCCACACUGGGACUGAGACACGGCCCAGACUCCUACGGGAGGCAGCAGUAGGGAAUCUUCGGCAAUGGGGGCAACCCUGACCGAGCAACGCCGCGUGAGUGAAGAAGGUUUUCGGAUCGUAAAGCUCUGUUGUAAGUCAAGAACGAGUGUGAGAGUGGAAAGUUCACACUGUGACGGUAGCUUACCAGAAAGGGACGGCUAACUACGUGCCAGCAGCCGCGGUAAUACGUAGGUCCCGAGCGUUGUCCGGAUUUAUUGGGCGUAAAGCGAGCGCAGGCGGUUUGAUAAGUCUGAAGUUAAAGGCUGUGGCUCAACCAUAGUUCGCUUUGGAAACUGUCAAACUUGAGUGCAGAAGGGGAGAGUGGAAUUCCAUGUGUAGCGGUGAAAUGCGUAGAUAUAUGGAGGAACACCGGUGGCGAAAGCGGCUCUCUGGUCUGUAACUGACGCUGAGGCUCGAAAGCGUGGGGAGCGAACAGG
rnacentral:rRNA from 1 species